CAGUUUCUAAGACGAGCCCCCUCGUGUCUGUAUGUUCGCUUGUCUAACUGGCUUGCAUGCUUGGUCGGCGUACAAUGGCUGCUCGCAGAGGAAGCGUGUACAAUGACGAGUGCGUGUGUGAUCGUUUUAGGACGUAAGUUUCUUCUAGUUGCCAAUACCCACGGAUUCCAGUGGUUUGUAAAUAACUAAUGAAAAUAAAAAAAAAGGAAUACGAAGACAAAGGAAAGGACGAAGAAAAAAGGGACAGAAAAAAGAAGGCGAGAAGGAACGAGGUUAUCCUCAGUGGAUGCAGAGAACGAAGUGGUCGAAAUUGCACGUAGAAGAAUAGAAGAACGAGGAGCCGGUUGCCACGCUCUAAGUGGAACGUUCUGCACGCAAAAUGGCGCGGGCUAUUGGCCAUCUUUCACCGGGCAAGAUAAAUUACACGUAAAAUGGGAUUGCGGGAUGGCAUGCGAAUGCACGUUUCAAUGUUAUUGGCGAUACUUCACCUUCGUAAUCUUUGUCGGAGACGGAGUCAAACUCGGGGCUGUAAAAUUGGAAAUCUGUGUCUGGUUCGAUGGCGUGGCGACGGUUGAAAUUUAGGUUAGGAAUCGGCACGUCGGAUCGACCGACCCUCGGAUACGCCAUCAGACCAGAAGCUCGCCUGUCAUUCAACUUUAACUUCACUCCCUCUGA
rnacentral:misc_RNA from 1 species